CUGACGGUUGGCGCGAUGGCGCUGGCGAUGGCGAUCGCCGCGCCGGUGGCGGCGCAGCAGAAGUCGGUGGCGAUCACCGCCAUCGUCGAGC
rnacentral:tRNA from 5 species